rnacentral:rRNA from 1 species
GACGAACGCUGGCGGCGUGCUUAACACAUGCAAGUCGAACGAAGUGGCGAACGGGUGAGUAACGCGUAAUCAACCUGCCCUUCAGCGGGGGACAACAGUUGGAAACGACUGCUAAUACCGCAUACUGAGGGAGGGGCUUGCGUCUGAUUAGCUGGUUGGAGGGGAAACGGCCCACCAAGGCGAUGAUCAGUAGCCGGUCUGGGAGGAUGAACGGCCACAUUGGGACUGGGACACGGCCCAGACUCCCACGGGAGGGAGCAGUGGGGAAUUUUUCGCAAAGGGAGAAAGUCUGACGGAGCAACGCCGCGGGAGUGAGGACGGCCUUCGGGUUGUAAAGCUCUGUUAAUCGGGACGCGGUACCGGAAUAGAAAGCCACGGCUAACUACGUGCCAGCAGCCGCGGUAAUAC